AGUGAACGCUGGCGGUAGGCCUAACACAUGCAAGUCGAACGGCAGCACAGUAAGAGCUUGCUCUUACGGGUGGCGAGUGGCGGACGGGUGAGGAAUACAUCGGAAUCUACUUUUUCGUGGGGGAUAACGUAGGGAAACUUACGCUAAUACCGCAUACGACCUACGGGUGAAAGCAGGGGAUCUUCGGACCUUGCGCGAUUGAAUGAGCCGAUGUCGGAUUAGCUAGUUGGCGGGGUAAAGGCCCACCAAGGCGACGAUCCGUAGCUGGUCUGAGAGGAUGAUCAGCCACACUGGAACUGAGACACGGUCCAGAGUCCUAAGAGAGGCAGCAGUGGGGAAUAUUGGACAAUGGGCGCAAGCCUGACCCAGCCAUACCGCGUGGGUGAAGAAGGCCUUCGGGUUGUAAAGCCCUUUUGUUGGUAAAGAAAAGCUGCAGGUUAAUACCCAGCGGUUCUGACGGUACCCAAAGAAUAAGCACCGGCUAACUUCGUG
rnacentral:rRNA from 1 species